AUUGAACGCUGGCGGCAUGCUUUACACAUGCAGGUCGAACGGCAGCGCGGGCUUCGGCCUGGCGGCGAGUGGCGAACGGGUGAGUAAUACAUCGGAACGUGCCCAGUAGUGGGGGAUAGCUCGGCGAAAGCCGGAUUAAUACCGCAUACGACCUGAGGGUGAAAGCGGGGGAUCUUCGGACCUCGCGCUAUUGGAGCGGCCGAUGGCAGAUUAGCUAGUUGGCGGGGUAAAGGCCUACCAAGGCGACGAUCUGUAGCUGGUCUGAGAGGACGACCAGCCACACUGGGACUGAGACACGGCCCAGACUCCUACGGGAGGCAGCAGUGGGGAAUUUUGGACAAUGGGCGAAAGCCUGAUCCAGCAAUGCCGCGUGUGUGAUGAAGGCCUUCGGGUUGUAAAGCACUUUUGGCGGGAACGAAAAGGACUGUGCCAAUACCACGGUUCGAUGACGGUACCCGCAGAAUAAGCACCGGCUAACUACGUG
rnacentral:rRNA from 1 species